GACGAACGCUGGCGGCGUGCCUAAUACAUGCAAGUAGAACGCAGUUGCGCACGGGUGAGUAACGCGUAGGUAACCUCCUCAUAGCGGGGGGUAACCAUUUGAAACGAUAGCUAAUACCGCAUACUGUGAGAUGGACCUGCGUUGUAUUAGCUAGGUGGUGGGGUAAAGGCUCACCAAGGCGACGAUACAUAGCCGGCGUGAGAGGGUGGUCCGCCAAAAUGGGACUGAGACACGGCCCAGGAUCCUUCGGGAGGGAGCAGUAGGGGAACUUCGGCAAUGGAGGGAAAGCUUACCGAGCAAAGCCGCGGGAGUUAAGAAGGGUUUCGGGUCGUAAAGCUCUGUUGUGAGAGAAGCGGUAACUAAAGAGAAAGGGACGGCUAACUACGUGCCAGCAGCCGCGGUAAUAC
rnacentral:rRNA from 1 species